ensembl:rRNA 5S_rRNA 5S ribosomal RNA
GCUUACGGCCAUACCACCUUCAAUGCGCCCGAUCUCGUCUGUAUCUCGGAAGCUAAGCAGGGUCAGGCCUGGUUAGUACUUGGAUGGGUGACCGCCUGGGAAUACCAGGGUGCUGUAAGCU